rnacentral:rRNA from 1 species
GUGGGGAAUCUUAGACAAUGGGGGAAACCCUGAUCUAGCCAUGCCGCGUGAUCGAUGAAGGCCUUAGGGUUGUAAAGAUCUUUCAGGUGGGAAGAUAAUGACUGUACCACCAGAAGAAGCCCCGGCUAACUUCGUGCCAGCAGCCGCGGUAAUACGAAGGGGGCUAGCGUUGCUCGGAAUUACUGGGCGUAAAGGGAGCGUAGGCGGACAUUUAAGUCAGGGGUGAAAUCCCGGGGCUCAACCCCGGAACUGCCUUUGAAACUCCCAGUCUUGAGUUCGAGAGAGGUGAGUGGAAUUCCGAGUGUAGAGGUGAAAUUCGUAGAUAUUCGGAGGAACACCAGUGGCGAAGGCGGCUCACUGGCUCGAUACUGACGCUGAGGUGCGAAAGCGUGGGGAGCAAACAGGAUUAGAAACCCGUGUAGUCC